CACGGGAGAGCUUGCAGGACUACAGAGUUCUGGAAACGGAUUUGGUAUGGCUGGCAACGACGAUGUUCUGAAUUGCUGUUCUUCUUCUUGUAGACGCCUGACUGCCAUAAUGCGCACGGGCUGAGACCGCUGCACCUUCUGCCUGGGAGACGUGGGCUGCAGGGCACUGGAUCCUGAGGUGGGCAGCGGGCUGCGGUUAAGCUGGCCAUUCUGAAGGAGCGGAGUGGUUUCUGACUGCAUACUGCACGUCGAGUACAAACUUUCAAAUGAUGAAUUCAUGUCAUUUACCAAAGCUUCCAGGUCCACAUCGUCAUCUUGGUGAUUUAGGGACAUGCGAUUAGAUGGUUCCUGGAAACCUGGUUCCACCAGAUCCCG
rnacentral:lncRNA from 1 species